UUCGCAAUGCCCGAAAGGGUGACGAAGCGACGCCGCGUGGGUGAGGAAGGCCUUCGGGUUGUAAAGCCCUGUCAGGAGUUAUGAAAUGUAAGUGCGCUAAUAUCGUGCUUAUUUGACAAAGGCUCCAAAGGAAGCCACGGCUAACUCUGUGCCAGCAGCCGCGGUAAUACAGAGGUGGCGAGCGUUGUUCGGAAUUAUUGGGCGUAAAGAGCACGUAGGUGGGUUUGCAAGUCAGAUGUGAAAGCCUUCUGUUCAACGGAAGAAUUGCAUCUGAAACUGCUAAUCUUGAGUAUAGGAGGGGAGAAUGGAACUUCUGGUGGAGCGGUGAAAUGCGUAGAUAUCAGAAGGAACGCCGGCGGCGAAAGCGAUUCUCUGGCCUAUUACUGACACUCAGUGUGCGAAAGCUAGGGGAGCAAACGGGAUUAGAUACCCCGGUAGUCCUAGCCGUAAACGAUGGGCACUAAGUAGAGGGGUUUUA
rnacentral:rRNA from 1 species